AAGAAAGCGUAAUAGCUCACUGGUCUAGUGAUUUUGCGCGGAAAAUAUAACGGGGCUAAAGUAAGUACCGAAGCUGUAGACUUAGUUUACUAAGUGGUAGGAGAGCGUUCUAUUUGCGUCGAAGGUAUACCGGUAAGGAGUGCUGGAGCGAAUAGAAGUGAGCAUGCAGGCAUGAGUAGCGAUAAUUAAUGUGAGAAUCAUUAACGCCGUAAACCCAAGGUUUCCUACGCGAUGCUCGUCAUCGUAGGGUUAGUCGGGUCCUAAGUCGAGUCCGAAAGGGGUAGACGAUGGCAAAUUGGUUAAUAUUCCAAUACCAACAUUAGUGUGCGAUGGAAGGACGCUUAGGGCUAAGGGGGCUAGCGGAUGGAAGUGCUAGUCUAAGGUCGUAGGAGGUUAUACAGGCAAAUCCGUAUAACAAUACUCCGAGAACUGAAAGGCUUUUUGAAGUCUUCGGAUGGAUAGAAGAACCCCUGAUGCCGUCGAGCCAAGAAAAGUUUCUAAGUUUAGCUAAUGUUGCCCGUACCGUAAACCGACACAGGUGGGUGGGAUGAGUAUUCUAAGGCGCGUGGAAGAACUCUCUUUAAGGAACUCUGCAAAAUAGCACCGUAUCUUCGGUAUAAGGUGUGGUUAGCUUUGUAUUAGGAUUUACUCCGAAAGCAAGGAAACUUACAACAAAGAGUCCCUCCCGACUGUUUACCAAAAACACAGCACUCUGCUAACUCGUAAGAGGAUGUAUAGGGUGUGACGCCUGCCCGGUGCUCGAAGGUUAAUUGAUGGGGUUAGCAUUAGCGAAGCUCUUGAUCGAAGCCCGAGUAAACGGCGGCCGUAACUAUAACGGUCCUAAGGUAGCGAAAUUCCUUGUCGGUUAAAUACCGACCUGCAUGAAUGGCGUAACGAGAUGGGAGCUGUCUCAAAGAGGGAUCCAGUGAAAUUGUAGUGGAGGUGAAAAUUCCUCCUACCCGCGGCAAGACGGAAAGACCCCGUGGACCUUUACUACAGCUUGACACUGCUACUUGGAUAAGAAUGUGCAGGAUAGGUGGGAGGCUUUGAGUAUAUGACGCCAGUUGUAUAUGAGCCAUUGUUGAGAUACCACUCUUUCUUAUUUGGGUAGCUAACCAGCUUGAGUUAUCCUCAAGUGGGACAAUGUCUGGUGGGUAGUUUGACUGGGGCGGUCGCCUCCCAAAUAAUAACGGAGGCUUACAAAGGUUGGCUCAGAACGGUUGGAAAUCGUUCGUAGAGUAUAAAGGUAUAAGCCAGCUUAACUGCAAGACAUACAAGUCAAGCAGAGACGAAAGUCGGUCUUAGUGAUCCGGUGGUUCUGUGUGGAAGGGCCAUCGCUCAAAGGAUAAAAGGUACCCCGGGGAUAACAGGCUGAUCUCCCCCAAGAGCUCACAUCGACGGGGAGGUUUGGCACCUCGAUGUCGGCUCAUCGCAUCCUGGGGCUGGAGCAGGUCCCAAGGGUAUGGCUGUUCGCCAUUUAAAGCGGUACGCGAGCUGGGUUCAGAACGUCGUGAGACAGUUCGGUCCCUAUCUGCCGUGGGCGUAAGAAGAUUGAAGAGAUUUGACCCUAGUACGAGAGGACCGGGUUGAACAAACCACUGGUGUAGCUGUUGUUCUGCCAAGAGCAUCGCAGCGUAGCUAAGUUUGGAAAGGAUAAACGCUGAAAGCAUCUAAGCGUGAAGCCAACUCUAAGAUGAAUCUUCUCUAAGCUCUCUAGAAGACUACUAGUUUGAUAGGCUGGGUGUGUAAUGGAUGAAAGUCCUUUAGCUGACCAGUACUAAUAGAGCGUUUGGCUUAUCUUUAAUAAAGCAU
rnacentral:rRNA from 1 species